rnacentral:piRNA from 1 species
UGCUCACACAGAAUCCAUGCUCUUUUGCA